AACCUUAUGGACCUGCGGGCGUAUACCUGCGGAGGGAUCAUUAACCUUUCAAAUCAGGGUGCGGCGCGGCCCCCGAGGAGCGGAAACAAUCCUUGGGAGGUAUGCGGGGGCUUCGAGCCCCCCAUUUAUGCACGCACGACUGCCAUCCUUACUUUACGAGCACCUUCUGUUCUCCCUCGGCGGGGCAACCUGCCGUUGGAACCGAAUAAACUCUUUUUGCAUCUAGCAUUACCUGUUCCG
rnacentral:misc_RNA from 1 species